ensembl:lncRNA
CAUAUCUGUGCGGAAGGGAAGAGAUGAAAAGAGUCGACGUGGAUAAAUUAUAUAAAAUGCAAAAGCUGGAUCUUAAAGCUCAAAUCUGCAAUGUGACUGGGGUUCCAUUGUGGUAGAUUCAGCCUCCAGCAUGUACGUGGACAAAUAACACAAAUAAAACAGGUAAAGAGUACCUCCGCGGACCCCCUGUUGAAGGCCUCUGUCUCAUAAGAUGUGACAGAAUUAUCCAGUUCCAAGGGAAAAACCCUCUACCAACCCCACCAGUGGAGGUUGUUGUUUCUGAACCACUACUAAAGUUAGUGUACUCCACCCUCCGGUACCUCCAUCAUUGCUGCAAACAGGAGGAAAGCUACUUACAGGUUAAUAUACGUUAUUAUAUACAUAUAUCAUGCAGAUAUGUAUUAAACUAAAUGUUUUUGUCUCUUUCUCUCAACAUGCUGUUGCAGAUGAGGAACUAAAUAGUUGAUGGAAAAUUUGAUCAUCACCAUCUCUCCUUCGUCUUCUAGAAAUGACACAACUACAUUUACAAAUAACAGACCUAUGAACUAUUUCCUCUUUGGAUAUGUGGUUUAAAGGUUUUGCUGCCAAUUCACACCUCUAAAUAAACCUCUGAUGACAUCAGGACCACAGAGAGCCGUCACAUCUCCCACCGCAAAAUAAAGACACACCUCUACCUCGACUAAAGGACUAACAAAUUGUAGCACUUAAAUUCUACUUAUAACGCCACUAAUCUAUAGCAAACUAACUUAUUUGAUAAAAUCACACUUUCUUGUUUGUAUCCCUACGGUUGAAUGCACUUAUUGUAAGUCGCUUUGGAUAAAAGCGGCAGCUAAAUAACUUGUAAUGUAAAACAAGAUGUGUGGCUGUGGUGUCACACGACCAUGACUCACGACAGAGCUGAUCCGCUUCUACAGAGAUGCAUGAUAUCAUGUUUUAAAGAUAAGAAGUAGAAAUUAAGUUCAAUAAACUGCAUAAACAGUUUAUUUACAAAUUGAUGCAACAUGUUUCUAGUAAAACAUUGUGAUUACAAAGAACAGCAACAACCACAAAGUUAAUAGAUGUGUAAAGGUCUGACAAACAAGUUCCCCUCUCUGAUCCGCUCCUCCUCAUUUUAAUACUGCAAGUAGAAAAGAUUAAAUCAUUCAUUUUAGUAAAGAGAAGGUACAGAACGGCCUCUGGGUAGAACGUUUCUGUGUCCAAACUUUAUCACUAUUGGAAAACUUUGGCACUUCUACAAAUGAAAUCACCUCACAGUGCAACAAGCAGACCAUGCAGUGCAUUAGUGCACGUGACGUGAACCCUGAUCAGAUGGUUGUAGAUCUCGGAGCACGCUGCCAGGAAUUGAGUCCCUGGUACUGAGCAAAGAAGUCAAAGACUAAGAAGAGUUUUAACUUCAAAAACAGGUUGUAUUGAAAACACAUCGAACUGAAACUUUGCAUCUACUAAACAACAUGAUGUGAUAUGUAUGAUACUUUGGUUAAACCAUGUUUAAACUGCAGCAGAAGGAACACAGUUUCAUGUUCUAGUGCUGUAGAAGUGAACAGGGGAGGAAAAGGCAUUCACUAUUCUACGGGAGGCUGAUGAGUUUCACAGAGGUGGACUAAACUAUCAGAGGCCUGAUUGGUGCUCACAGACUGGAUCGGCCUUAAACAGCUAACAACUAAUAUGAGAUGUAUUUAAAGUUGAGGAGAGAUGGUUAGCAGUGAUCUAAGACAUGUUGUCAAUACCUUUCAGUGGAAUGAGUGUCAGCAUUGUGUUCAACGCUUAUUCGUUAGAAAGGAGCUAAAAACUGCUGUUGUUAAUUUGGUCAUUUGAGCUUCGUGUGAAAGGGAAGGAAGUUAAAAUGAAGAAGAGGAGGAGAAAAUG